GUCAGUGAGUGUGUCUGUGUCCAACUCUUCCUCACAGGUUAGUUAAUGACAGACAGUCAGUGAGUGUGUCUGUGUCCAACUCUUCCUCACAGGUUAGUUAAUGACAGACAGUCAGUGAGUGUGUCUGUGUCCAACUCUUCCUCACAGGUUAGUUAAUGACAGACAGUCAGUGAGUGUGUCUGUGUCCAACUCUUCCUCACAGGUUAGUUAAUGACAGACAGUCAGUGAGUGUGUCUGUGUCCAACUCUUCCUCACAGGUUAGUUAAUGAUGUUACUGAGUCAAUGUGAGCAGAUUGUGUCUGUAGAUUGAAGAGAAUCAGAGUCUCACUGAUGGUGGAAAUAAAGGUUUUACUUCCUUAAAACA